rnacentral:lncRNA from 1 species
GUCAUGACGAAAUGAAUGCCCUCUCGACACGUCAGUGUUCAUGUGCAUACCGUUGAAUCCAAUGUGACCCACCAUCAGAUUUUUUUUUAUGAAUUUUUCUGAACAAAAAAUCUAUCUUUUAUGACAGAUUUGGACGCAAAGAUAAAGACAACGGAAGAGUUGCUGAUCCUGAAAACGGCACGAAAGUUUAAGCGUAUUUUAGAGUGGUUUUUUCCUCCUAAGAAAUCUCGAAAUAAUUGGCCUUCGGUGCCUUUAAUCAUCCUACAUCACUUUAUACAGACGCUUUUCAUGAUUCUGCCUUUACUUGAAACAAAAAAUACACAAUCUCUAACGAUAACUGCCACCCUUGCGCGUAAAAUUCAUUCUAUGAUAUCGCCUCUUCUUUACAUGAUCCUUGCAGUUUGGUGGCAAAAGAGAGAUGUUUUGAUUGAAUUUACCCAGAAACUCAACAAAAUUUUGCUUUACGACCAGUUCCCUCUACCAAGUUCACUGCGCACGUCAAUCAUCACGAACCUGGAAUCUCGGCACCGGCUCAUCGUCCUCUCCGUGACGCCGGUCACCCAAAUUAUGGUUUUGUUUUACUUUUUGCCUCCCAUCGUCACAUUCUUCCUUAAUCCCUCGCCAUCACGCCAGCUCGACCUUCCUCUGGGUAUACCAAACCCGGUCUCUCUCCUCGGAAUCACCCUAAAUGACGUCACACGGACACUUGUCUACCUUUGUAUUAGCGUCUCCAUUGCGACUCAGUUCUAUGUUAUACACAUCGGCACUUUCCUCAUCUUCACAACUGUGGACGCCUUAAAGACUGCGUUUUUAUAAGUGGAAUUAGUUUGGAAACCCUUGGCCAUGACGACUUUUCACAAAGGGAGCAAUUUGUGAGCGCUGUCAGACUUCAUCAACGCCUGUUCAGGUGAUGUUUAAAUUUGAAACGCAAAAAAAAGAGAAAAAAAAAAUAUUUCUUUCUCUCAUUUACUUUUCUAUUUCUUAAUUUUAGUGCUGGAUGCAGAAAGGGCGUUUCUUGGUUGCAGUGUCUUAAAAUCUCCGCGAACGUCUCAUCCUUCACGAUAGAAGCAAAUUUAGGUGAUUUGUUGUAACCUUUACUGAUUAUCUUUUGUAAUAUUGCAGUGCUGAAAACGUAAAAUUAAUAAAUAACGGAAGAUAGGCUGCAGAAGAAGAUGCUUGAUUGGGUUCCUCCUGGGAGGAGACAAGGGGGACGCCCUGUGAGAGGGGGCUGACAGGGGUUUUAAAUGAGAUGAGGGAGUGUCAACUCCCUCGAGUUGACACUCGACACUAUGAAAGCGACUCAUAUAUAUAUAUAUAUAUAUAUAUAUAUAUAUAUAUAUAUAUAUAUAUAUAUAUAUAUAUAUAUAUAUAUAUAUGAUGAGAUUGGGACAUCAAUUCUUAUACGAGUUUGAUUUGCUCUUCGGUUUUUUAGUAUUUUCAGAUAAUUGUGUAUGCUUUGUGCCCGCAUUUUUUGUAGAACCGUGUUCGGUUUUGAAGCCGCUUCUUUUCAUCCAUUUACUUCGGCAAUUAUGUGGAGUGUCUGAAAGAUCUCUUGUAUUUUUGAACUA